CAUCCCCCUUCACAUCACUUGCCCCAUUUACAUAUAAAAAAAGUGUGGUUAUGUCCCUCUCACGAACCUGAAUGUUCCUCUGUCACGUACCUUUAAACAAUCUCCUGAAAAUUAUGAGUAAGUGGUUGAAUGAAAAAUUGACGACAUUUAAAAACAAAAUCACUGGACCCCUGAUAAAACAUGAAAGGAUUUAUAGAGAGGCAGACAGUGUCGGAGUGUUUCGUUGCUGAAAUCUCUAAGCAUCAGAAGCCCAAAGCCCCCAGGAAUGGAAAAUCCAUGGAGAUGAAAUACUAAAAAAAAUCCUUCCAAUUCCCUAAAAUCAGAACUAAAAAAGCUGGCGAAAUCUCCGAAAAAUGAAGAGACAGAUAACAGAUAACUGGCAGGAGACGUUCGAGCUCUCCAGUGGACGAAAUGGGCUGCCACAAAAGUGCUCGGACGAAAAAGCGAGUCUUUCAGAUUUUCGAUUCCAGUUGCUGCUAGAUCUUGUGUUGAUCAGUCAAACAAAGGAUUAGGUGACAUACGCAGGUAUGGAGAGACUCCAAAAUUAUGGGUGUCCUCCGGAUCUUCUGAUCAAGACUCCUGACAAUCUAAAUUGGAGGAUUGGUUGGAGUAAAACAAAUAACAGCAGAAAAAAAUUGACGAAGAAGGCGCAGUUUAAGCAGGAGAGACCUAUGAACAAAAUCAAGGGUCAGACCAAAAAGAAACUAACAAUAGAAAUUAAUAGAAAAAUCUGUACUUUAUUUUGUAAAUAAAAUCAUUUCAUAUCAA